rnacentral:rRNA from 1 species
CCUACGGGAGGCUGCAGUGAGGAAUAUUGGUCAAUGGACGAGAGUCUGAACCAGCCAAGUAGCGUGAAGGAGGACUGUCCUCUGGGUUGUAAACUUCUUUUAUAUGGGAAUAAAAUGUUCCACGUGUGGGAUUUUGUAUGUACCAUAUGAAUAAGGAUCGGCUAACUCCGUGCCAGCAGCCGCGGUACUACGGAGGAUCCGAGCGUUAUCCGGAUUUAUUGGGUUUAAAGGGUGCGUAGGUGGAUUGUUAAGUCAGUUGUGAAAGUUUGCGGCUCAACCGUAAAAUUGCAGUUGAAACUGGCAGUCUUGAGUACAGUAGAGGUGGGCGGAAUUCGUGGUGUAGCGGUGAAAUGCGUAGAUAUCACGAAGAACUCCGAUGGCGAAGGCAGUUCACUGGACUGCAACUGACACUGAGGCUCGAAAGUGUGGGUAUCAAACAGGAUUAGAUACCCCUGUAGUC